UAAUACGGAGGGUGCGAGCGUUGUCCGGAUUUAUUGGGUUUAAAGGGUGCGUAGGCGGCUGAUUAAGUCAGCGGUGAAAGACUUCGGCUUAACCGGAGCAGUGCCGUUGAUACUGGUUGGCUUGAGUGUCGGAGGGGUACAUGGAAUUGAUGGUGUAGCGGUGAAAUGCAUAGAUACCAUCAGGAACACCGAUAGCGAAGGCAUUGUACUGGCCGACAACUGACGCUGAUGCACGAAAGUGUGGGGAUCGAACAGGAUUAGAUACCCUGGUAGUCCACACCGUAAACGAUGAUUACUCGCUGUUAUGGUGUAUGCUGUAGUGGCCAAGCGAAAGCGUUAAGUAAUCCACCUGGGGAGUACGCCGGCAACGGUG
rnacentral:rRNA from 1 species